rnacentral:tRNA from 1 species
GCCCGGUGGUGACCGAGCCGGUCAGGUCGGCGUGGCUCGCGUCCACGCCCGAGUCCACCACCGCGACGGUCACCCCGGCGCCCCGGGUG